rnacentral:pre_miRNA from 7 species
UUCUUAGAAUUUGAGCUCUCACAUAUGACAAUGAAAGACCCCCGAAGGGAGACCUUCACUCAAGUCUCGGGAACGUCGCGCACCCAGUGGGACACUGAGACCG